UACGUAGGGGGCAAGCGUUGUCCGGAAUUAUUGGGCGUAAAGAGCUCGUAGGCGGUCUGUCGCGUCUGCUGUGAAAACUCGGGGCUUAACCCCGGGCCUGCAGUGGGUACGGGCAGACUAGAGUGCGGUAGGGGAGACUGGAAUUCCUGGUGUAGCGGUGAAAUGCGCAGAGUAUCAGGAGGAACACCGGUGGCGAAGGCGGGUCUCUGGGCCGUAACUGACGCUGAGGAGCGAAAGCCAGGGGAGCAAACGGG
rnacentral:rRNA from 1 species